GCCCCUGUAGCCAAGCGGUAAGGCUGUUGGUUGCAACCCAACGAUUGCGCAUGUUCGAAUCAUGUCAGGGGCU
rnacentral:tRNA from 1 species